rnacentral:sRNA from 1 species
AAGUUUUGGUUUUUUUUUUAACGUU